rnacentral:rRNA from 1 species
ACUAUCACCCUAACACUCUUAAGAUCUCCAGUCCCGUCUGAUUUUGGAAACUAAGGAGGGUCAGGCCAGGUUAAUCCUUGAAUGAGAGACCAUCAGGGAAGAGGUAGGAAAGAAUC